UGUGGUGUGGCAUAGUGGUUUGAGCGUUGGACUAUGACUCUGGAGACCAGGGUUUGAAUCCUCACGCAAUGG